AUUGAACGCUGGCGGAAUGCUUUACACAUGCAAGUCGAACGGCAGCACGGGGGCAACCCUGGUGGCGAGUGGCGAACGGGUGAGUAAUACAUCGGAACGUGCCCAGUCGUGGGGGAUAACGUAGCGAAAGUUACGCUAAUACCGCAUACGAUCUACGGAUGAAAGCGGGGGACCGUAAGGCCUCGCGCGAUUGGAGCGGCCGAUGUCAGAUUAGGUAGUUGGUGAGGUAAAGGCUAACCAAGCCGACGAUCUGUAGCUGGUCUGAGAGGACGACCAGCCACACUGGGACUGAGACACGGCCCAGACUCCUACGGGAGGCAGCAGUGGGGAAUUUUGGACAAUGGGGGCAACCCUGAUCCAGCAAUGCCGCGUGAGUGAAGAAGGCCUUCGGGUUGUAAAGCUCUUUUGUCAGGGAAGAAACAGCAGCUCUAACACAGUCUGCGAAUGACGGUACCUGAAGAAUAAGCACCGGCUAACUACGUGCCAGCAGCCGCGGUAA
rnacentral:rRNA from 1 species